GGCAUGAUGGCCGAGCGGUCUAAGGCGACGCACUCAAGCAAUUUGCGUUGGGAUUUAUCCCGCGUGAGUUCAAAUCUCACUCAUGUCA
rnacentral:tRNA from 1 species